rnacentral:lncRNA from 1 species
AAAGUGGGAAAGAGAGAAAGAUAGAACCAGAGUGCGAGAGAAAAGGGGAAAGAAGUGAGAGGAGGGCAAGCUGCCGUUGCUAGAUAGAACGAAGAGAGAAAGAGUGAGGAAGAUAGAAAGAGAAAGAGAAGGUGAGUGCGAAGAGGUAGGAGAGAGCGGCUGGUACGUUUGCAGGAGAAAGACAAAUGCAUAUGUGUUCUGAAACAAACGUUCGAUCAGAGUGCCGAUUGUUGCCAAUCAUACGUUGCCGCGGCCGUAUCCCUCUAUGUGCCUGGACACGAUCCCCCUCAGAAAAGACGAAGGAAGAAACGAGUUUUAAAUCGUGAAAAGUUUUCAACUUCUUUCGCGGGAAAAGCGCGAGGAGCUGUACCGGUUGAAGGGGAAGUGAAAUAAGAA